rnacentral:tRNA from 1 species
GGAGAGGUGUCCGAGGGGUCGAAGGAGCACGAUUGGAAAUCGUGUAGGCGUUAACAGCGUCUCGUGGGUUCGAAUCCCACUCUCUCCGCCA